rnacentral:tRNA from 1 species
GCGGGAAUAGCUCAGCUGGUAGAGCAUCACGUUGCCAACGUGAAUGUCGCGAGUCCGAAUCUCGUUUCCCGCUCCA